GUGAAUCAUCGAAUUUUUGAACGCAAAUUGCACUCUCUGGUAUUCCGGAGAGUAUGCCUGUUUGAGGGUCAGUUUAAAUAAAAAUCGGGUUGGUUUCUGACUUUCGUGGUGACGCACCGGAGGUGGGUCGUCUUGCUUUCGGUUAAGUGACCUAAAAUUUUGCAUUAUUGUGUUCUAUCGUAUUUAAAUGAUUUUACGUACUUUUUCUAUUUAGAAUGUUAGUAUUUUUUAUCCUCAUGAUU
rnacentral:misc_RNA from 1 species